GGGCUCGUGGUCUAGUUGGUUAUGACGUCGCCUUGACAUGGCGGAGGUCCAGAGUUCAAAUCUCUGCGAGCCCA
rnacentral:tRNA from 1 species